GGAAUAUUGCGCAAUGGGCGAAAGCCUGACGCAGCGACGCCGCGUGAGUGAUGAAGGCCUUCGGGUCGUAAAGCUCUGUUGUGAGGGAAAAUGAUGAUGGUACCUCAUAAGAAAGGACCGGCUAACUUCGUGCCAGCAGCCGCGGUAAGACGAGGGGUCCUAGUGUUGUUCGGAAUCAUUGGGCGUAAAGCGCAUGUAGGCGGCCUAGCAAGUCAGGUGUGAAAGCCCAGGGCUCAACCCUGGAAGUGCACUUGAUACUGCUGGGCUUGAAUAUGGGAGAGGAUAGUGGAAUUCCUGGUGUAGUGGUGAAAUACGUAGAUAUCAGGAGGAACACCGGUGGCGAAGGCGGCUAUCUGGCCCAAUAUUGACGCUGAGAUGCGAAAGCGCGGGGAUCAAACAGGAUUAGAUACCCUGG
rnacentral:rRNA from 1 species